rnacentral:piRNA from 1 species
UGAUUUGUGAGAGUGAGGACAGCCUCAG